GUCGGUCCGGAUUUCACAACUAUGCAUCAAAACUAAAAAUUGUGGUUCAAGUUGAUUGGCCAAAAAUAACAAGAACCGAAAAAAGAAGAUGGCUUCACCUGCACUGCAGAGAUCUGCACUCUCGCCUUCUGCAUCCCCUCUGCAACGCCUCUCUGCCCUAAAAAAUUCCUCCUCCUCUUCUUCUCUUCCUUCCACCACCGCCCCAUCCUCCGCAGCUGCUUCCCCUUUAGAUUCCUUUGCCAAAGACCCUAUCCUCUCCCCUUUUCUCUCCUCAUCCUUCUCCUCCACUUCCUUCUCCUCCGCCGCCCUCUCUUCCGGCUCCCCCGCCUCCACUGCCGAACACCUCCACCAUGCCAUCCGCCUCCUCGAAUCCCAACUCCGCACUGAAGUCUUAUCUCGCCACACCGAACUCCUCAACCAGUUAUCAUCUCUCAAGCAUGCUGAACAUGCUCUCUCCACCGUCCGAUCCGCCGUCUCCUCUCUCCAGUCCUCUGUACGCCGCGUACGAUCGGAGCUCUCCGAACCCCACAAAUCCAUUCAGUCCAAAACACUACAGCUCUCCAAUCUCCAUUGCUCUACAGAGCUUUUGCAACACACGAUCCGUGCUCU
rnacentral:misc_RNA from 1 species